CUCGCAGGCGCCCCCGCCGUGGCCCCCAAGGUCUUCGUCUUCCCUCCGCCCCCGGAAGAGCUGGCGCUGGCCGAGACGGCCACCUUGACCUGCCUGGCCAGCGGCUUCUUCCCCCGGGACAUCCUCCUCACCUGGACCCGCCAGGACGCCCCCCUGGACCCCCGCGACUACUCCCUGCUGGGCCCGGAGCCGGACGCCGGCGCUUCCGGAACCUUCUCGCUCUACUCCAAGCUGUCGGUGCCGGUGGAGCAGUGGCGGCGCGGCGACGUCUUCACCUGCGUGGUGGGGCACGACGGCGCGGCCGUGAAGUUCAUCCAGAGGAGCCUGGACAGGACGGCGGCGCGGCCGGCCAGCGUCAACGUCUCGGUGGUGCUGGCCGACUCCGACCUCGUCUGCUAUUAACUGGGAAUUUUCUGGAGUUUUCUGGAAUUUUCCGGGAUUUUUCUGGAAUUUUCGCGAUUUUUCUAGAAUUUUCUGGUA